GUACGCAGUGAGAUAAAGACACCCACAGCUAGUACGACGUUUAACGGUGACAACCCCAUCGAUACAAAGUUCAACGCGAACAUAACUCACGUUAACAUUUCUUUUUAUUGUUGAUUUCUUUUUGCUUUAAACCUGAAGUUAAGUAAGGAUUUUUCGCUUACAGCGAAUCGUCAACUUCACGUUGGGAUGAAUGAGAUAAUUCAAAUAAAGCAUCAAGUAUUGCUUUAAAGGAAAACAGCGUUUAUUUCUAUUUCUUACAUUCUUUAAUUAAUACCAAUUUGAAAACAGUUGAUGGUUGAAACAUCGAUAAUUGAUUUCGAAAGAAAUGCAUAAUGAUUUUGGAAACCAUGUCUUCCUCUAACCGUAAUAAUUGUAUCGAAAAAACUCAUAAUUACACAUAAUUACUGGUGUUUGGAUUACCAAAAGACAUUAAUGUGUGCUUUACGCUUUUAACAAUACUCUUAGCAAGUCCAGUUUCAGUAAUGAAUUGAGUGUGUUUCUUUGAAGACGGGCCGAAGGAAAAAACAACAAUUUAAAUUCUCUGAACUUAAAGUGUAUAGAAUCUGUUUUUAGUUAUCGAAAUGUUAAUUCAGCAUGAAGGGAAAGCGAUUGUUUUGCUGUUCAUAGAAUCCAAGUAUCAAUGUAGCGAAAUCAUCCAAAUCUUUAACUAUUUGAUCAUUGAAUAAAACUACAAGAUAAUUUAUGUUUAGUAUUCCUACCAUUAGUUCUUUCAAUAAUUUUACAAAAAUGGAGAAGAUCUCAUCGGUACUGCGAUACAUAAAGAUGCUACUACCCAAAGAUUUUAAAUCAAUGAUCCUUUCAAUCCCC